rnacentral:rRNA from 1 species
UUGACUGGGGCGGUCUCCUCCUAAAGAGUAACGGAGGAGCACGAAGGUUGGCUAAUCCUGGUCGGACAUCAGGAGGUUAGUGCAAUGGCAUAAGCCAGCUUGACUGCGAGCGUGACGGCGCGAGCAGGUGCGAAAGCAGGUCAUAGUGAUCCGGUGGUUCUGAAUGGAAGGGCCAUCGCUCAACGGAUAAAAGGUACUCCGGGGAUAACAGGCUGAUACCGCCCAAGAGUUCAUAUCGACGGCGGUGUUUGGCACCUCGAUGUCGGCUCAUCACAUCCUGGGGCUGAAGUAGGUCCCAAGGGUAUGGCUGUUCGCCAUUUAAAGUGGUACGCGAGCUGGGUUUAGAACGUCGUGAGACAGUUCGGUCCCUAUCUGCCGUGGGCGCUGGAGAACUGAGGGGGGCUGCUCCUAGUACGAGAGGACCGGAGUGGACGCAUCACUGGUGUUCGGGUUGUCAUGCCAAUGGCACUGCCCGGUAGCUAAAUGCGGAAGAGAUAAGUGCUGAAAGCAUCUAAGCACGAAACUUGCCCCGAGAUGAGUUCUCCCUGAGACUUUAGGUCUCCUGAAGGAACGUUGAAGACGACGACGUUGAUAGGCCGGGUGUGUAAGCGCAGCGAUGCGUUGAGCUAACCGGUACUAAUGAACCGUGAGGCUUAACCUUACA